rnacentral:rRNA from 1 species
CCAGCAGCCGCGGUAAUACGUAGGGUGCGAGCGUUAAUCGGAAUUAUUGGGCGUAAAGCGCGCGCAGGCGGCCGUUUAAGUUUGGUGUUUAAGCCCCGGGCUCAACCCGGGUACGCACUGAAAACUGGGCGGCUUGAGUCCAGAAGAGGAGAGUGGAAUUCCAUGUGUAGCGGUGAAAUGCGUAGAGAUAUGGAGGAACACCAGUGGCGAAGGCGACUCUCUGGUCUGAAACUGACGCUGAGGCGCGAAAGCGUGGGGAGCA